GGAUGGAAAGGAGAAGGAGGGCGAAGAGCGGAGUCCGGCUGGGAAGGAAUCUGAUUGGAUGAGGGUAUAAAAGGGGUACCCCUUGAGCCGAAAAGUUUCACAGCGAUCGCUUUCUCGGACGGGACGGUUGUUUAGUCUGCGGGCGCAAGUAAGCAAGUCGACUUUGACGGCCCUUUGUCGGACCCCAGCCAAACCUCAAACCAAUUCAAGAUGGUGUCUCAGACAAGAUUGCUGGCACUGGCGCUGAUGUCCACGCUGAUGCUUCUGGUGGUGGACGCCCGCUACCUGCCCACCAGGAGCGACGACCUCCAGAAGGACCACAUCAGAGACAUCCUCAGAGGCCUGUUCGAGAAGGCAGAGUUCGAGAAGUCUGCCAGCAACCUUCUGGCGGACCUGGGCAGCGCGUACACGUUGCGAGGAGGCGCGCCCCUGGGCUCCGAUAUGGGCGCGUACGCAGGUUCCAGGGCCGGAGCAGUGCGCUCGGGUCUCCUGUCCAGGGACAUGGGCGCCUGAUGACCCCACUUUCGGUUGGGGGCGCCCAUCGAGUCUCGGCUCUCUCUUUCUCUCCUCUCCACUCCCGUUCUAACUCCUCCGAGACAGUUUCACCACUCGCCUAACAGCCCUCCGGUUCUCCCCUCUACUCUUCUCGCUUGUUUUCUCACCUCAAGACGCUUCAGCCUGUAAAAAGAAUCAUGCUGCGAACAGCUAACGAAACCAAUGAAAUGAUCGAAUAAAGAACUUGCCGAAUCUUAAAAGCUCCCUGAAUAAAGAUCUCGCCGAAUCUUAAAAGCUCGCCUGGGCAGACAUGGAAACUAAAAUCGAUGUCUUGAAACUUGACGGACUGGAAGCGCCAUCUAUUGCGGAGUGCCUCAAGCUUGCCCUGGUGAAGAAACCCGACUAUCGCGCCCCUGCCAUACAACGCUGGAGCGGAAAUUCAAACCGACCGGAUUUGUCGAAGGUUAUGUCACAAUGGUUGUUUCAUUCACCCUUCCUUCUGACUAGAGAUAACAUCUACGAGCUGUCCGCGCCAAUCUCGUGGCUCUAACGUGUCACGUGCCUUCUCAGGCAAAGAUCCCAGUUCGCGCGGACCGAAAUCACGUGAUAAAAUAAAAAUAUGCGAUUGGCGCGCAGAACUGGUAGCUUCGGCUGAAAGUUGGACGGGAGCGUGACUGGUGUUUGGUUGUUUAGUGGAAACGAAGUAUCGCUAUAUCGCGAUGGCGCGUUGGUCUUGUGGCAACACCUGUAGAGGAAGCAAAUGAUGUAGAAUAAAAUACGUUUGCAGCUUUUCGGUAAUAAAUGUUGAAAUAAAGGAUCUCUCCGCUU